CCCGCCCUCCUGCCUCUCAGUCCGUGCGUGCCGUUCUCUCUGCCUCUGGCCGCACGGACUGUGUGUAUAUACACAAAUCGGCGGUCACGUGACCCGGCACUACAUGUCCCAUGGUGCAUUGCGGGUCACGUGACACGCACGAAAAUGCACAUUUCAUUUAACCCUUCUUUUUAUAUAAAUUAAUGCUCGUUUUUGAUUUACUUUUACAUACUUACCAUCUUAUGUUUAUAUACACUCAUAUUUUAUACCAAUUUUUAUCUUUUGUAUGUAAACUCUUUAUUUACAUUUUGGACUAUU